GCGCCCGUAGCUCAGUUGGCAGAGCAGUGUGACGGUACCCCACGGUCCCGGGUUCGAGCCCCGGCGCCCAGCA